AAUCCAAGGACUGUGUGAUGAAUUGCCAGUAGAGGAACCUUCCAUUUUCAUUUAGACAAUCAUUUCUUGCCUCUACUCUUUAAAAAAAGAGCUAACAUCAUUCCUCUCAGUGUCUUGAGCCCAUAAACCGGAAGACCUGAUAGCUGUGAGCUUCAGAAUUUCUAUCUGGUCUCUGAUACCCCCCACCUUAAGUCUCCUCCUCAUCCUCUCUCUCCUCGUGCUUGGCUUCCAUGAAGAGCAGUUGCAGGGAAGGAAAAGGAGCGGGGCUUGCCUCCUUUCGUGGUCUUGAUGACACCGCACCUGGGAUUCAUUCUGGACAACCUACACAGGGAGUCACAUGUGUUCAGAGUGUAUUAAGAAGAACAGUUAACUUUCAGCUCAGGAACUCAGACAUCAGGAUCAUUGAUGUAGCGUUGAAGGCUGGAUUUUUCUACAGUGACCGUGGUUACAGGCAGGCUACUCUCUUUUCUUGACCUGUUAAAAUGCUUCUAUUCAGGAAUGAUUUUUCAAAUGUAAAAUUCCUUAGAAGAAAUAAAAGAACAUCUAUCUCUGUGAAGUGAAGUGAAAGUCAUGUCCAACUCUUUUCGACUCCAUGGACUGUGCCCAUGGAAUUCUCCAUGCCAAAAUACUGGGUGUUUACAUGGUUCUACUUCUGCUAAAAGGAAGCCAUUAGCAGCUAAUGCUUCAUUUUUCAUGCAUGCGCAAGAAGUGAAAGGAGUUUGGAAGAGCAGUCAUUGCAUCUAAAUGAAAAAUUAAGCUUCGCAGAGUGAUGAAAACACAACUUGUGCAGCUUCUAGUGUCAAAUGAUCAUCUCUGAGCAUGAGCUACUUAAAAUAAUAAACUUUUGAAGCAAAUGCUGGUGUUUCUUCAGCAAAUUUCUGUUCUCUGGCUUUCCUGUGGCCAACAAUGGCAUUAUGAUAUCCCCAAAGUGAAAGCAAGGUACCAACAAAUAUUUUAUACAAGUUAUACAUUAAUCUACAAUUUUAAUACUUUUUCAUUUUCUGUAAAAAUAUACUUUGAUCCUUUGAAGCUGACUGCUCCCCAAAGAGAUUAUUGUAAAAGAAAAAAUGUUUACCCAACAAUGCAAAAAAUGCUUGUUGCAGAUAGCAAUUUGUGGUAAAUGACAAAACCACUGUAAAAAAGAAUAUUCAAACUAUAGUUCCUACACUC
ensembl:lncRNA